AUGAACGCUGGCGGCGUGCCUAAUACAUGCAAGUCGAGCGAACAGACGAGGAGCUUGCUCCUCUGACGUUAGCGGCGGACGGGUGAGUAACACGUGGAUAACCUACCUAUAAGACUGGGAUAACUUCGGGAAACCGGAGCUAAUACCGGAUAAUAUAUUGAACCGCAUGGUUCAAUAGUGAAAGACGGUUUUGCUGUCACUUAUAGAUGGAUCCGCGCCGCAUUAGCUAGUUGGUAAGGUAACGGCUUACCAAGGCAACGAUGCGUAGCCGACCUGAGAGGGUGAUCGGCCACACUGGAACUGAGACACGGUCCAGACUCCUACGGGAGGCAGCAGUAGGGAAUCUUCCGCAAUGGGCGAAAGCUUGACGGAGCAACGCCGCGUGAGUGAUGAAGGUCUUCGGAUCGUAAAACUCUGUUAUUAGGGAAGAACAAAUGUGUAGGUAACUAUGCACGUCUUGACGGUACCUAAUCAGAAAGCCACGGCUAACUACGUG
rnacentral:rRNA from 1 species